rnacentral:lncRNA from 1 species
GAAAGCCCGCCCCAUCACGUUAGACGCUAAUGGGAAAAGCUAUGUAGAUUCUUUUUCUCCGUGAGUGCAAAGAGGCAAACAGCAGUGUGAAGGAUUAAUUAUAGAAAUAUACACAAGUAUUUUCUUUCGUUGGAUUUAGGUUUUUUAUUAUGCUGGAAAACCGAACGUUUCAGUACAGAUGAUGAUCCAAGAUGGCGAGUCAACCCACGAGAUGAAUACAGAUGUGGAUCAGUUAAACUGAACCAGGAGCGUGCACCUUACGAGAAACAAUCUGUUUUCUGGAAGUUUUCCAUGCUAAAAAUCUGUUUUAAUCUGCUAAUGUAAGUUUUAACCCAUCGCACACACCAGCACA